rnacentral:lncRNA from 1 species
GGAAUGUGUGCGUGACUGACUGCGAGAUGACGUAAGGCGGAAGUGCUACGACCCUAUAAGGACCAUAAGGACACAAGAAGCUCAAUAAGGACGCGGGUUUUCUUAGCGGCAAUAAGCAGCAGCAAUGGAUCGGGUGAGGUCUGCGUUUAACAGCGUGAUUAAAAGUGAGCGGUACAGCAGGUUCACUCUGCAGCCGGCCGAGGACGGAGAAAGACACGUUGAGGUCAAAUUGUCAGAUGACGCCACGGAGGCCGAGGAUCAGGCAGGUGGAUCUCCAAGCUUCAGGCCAGCACCUCCGAGUCAAGGCCGGACUACUCUCUGCUACCUGGCCCUGGCGACACUGCUCAUAUUUGUCACCGGCUACGUGCUUGGUUACCUGAGCCACCGUGAAACUCAGCUGGAGCAGGUGAGCUGUGGCCCAGAGCUGGAAGAAACGCCAGCUGCUGUUGCACCAGCUCCUGGACGCUCUGAUGGACUGGAAGGACGUCACCCAACUCCUCACGCAGAAACUCACCAGCCAGGACUUUGACAAAUCUCUGAGGUACAUUGCUCAUGUGCAAAACUUUAAUAAAAAUACAAUUGAAUGUUGUCAUACUGACGGUGAAGCCACAUGAGAACACACCCAACAAUCAAACAAACCUACUGAUUCAUUAAUAAG